GGUCAAGUAGUUUUAAACUGGGAACAACCACAGGGUGAAAUGGUAGCAUAUAGAUCAUUUAGUCCAUUCUUUCCCUUGUUAAUUUGUUAUGAUCUACCAUCAGUUCAACUGUGGGCAGUUUGGGCCAUAAAUCAUGUUUGUACUAAAAAUGAGAAACGAUAUUGUCCAUUAUUACAAGAAGAGGGAGGUGUGGAGAAACUACAAGCUCUACUAAAGAACGACACAACGCCAGAAGUACAAAAAAUAUCAAGGAAUAUUCUCGAACUUUUACACAAACAUGCCAAAAGCCAGUGAUAUAUUGUUUAAAAAAGAAUAUUAUACACCAGUCUGAUUUGUUCAGGGCCGAUGUUUUCUUUAUAUGUCAAUCUUGUUUUAAAAUUGGCCAACUGUGUAUGAACAACAGACAUACGGCCAUAUAAAAAAUAAUAUUCUCGUUCUCUGAUACUACUACACCACUUAAUACUGUCUUUACAACCGUUUUUAUUUUAAAAUGUAAAAAAUAUAAACAUCUUUGGCUUUGAUUACAACUUCCCACUGUUAAGGGAAGUAACUCUGUUAGACAUGUCCAGUAGGCUGAAUUAUCAAGUACACAAACUUGCUAAAUGUUUGGUAAAUGUUAUUGACAAUCUUCUUUCAUGGAUGAUAAUUCUCCUGCUUACUACAUCUAGUAAUGAGAAGGGAAUUACUCGUAUUAUACACCAUUUUGAUGGAAGGAGCAGUAUUCACAUUAGAAAUACAAAAUUUGUUCUUUCCUUCUGUAGAGAGAAAUAUUUACGGGUUUUAAAUAGAAACCUAUAUUUAAAGGAUUGUCUGAGAACCUGAAUUUUUUUGUAUGGCCUAAAUUCACUUUGUUAACAGAAGCUUAUGUUUAGACAAUGGUUAAAAAUGUCUACAUUAAUCUAAAUGUUUACCAUUUCCUAAAAUAAGUUACAUUCAUAAAGCCAUAACUCCGCUGUAUUAAACCCCAUUUCUGUUGUAUUCACCUCCCUCCAUUUGAUAUUUUAGUCCCCUUACUAUGUUAAAUUCCCAAAAAUGAACAAAUUUGAAGGUCAAAUUCAUAUCUUCCUGCUUGUCACUAUAAGAAUGCACCAAGAGUUUUUCAGUAAAGACAUUUCUAGAAAGUUAGGAACGACUCUUCUUUAGGAACUAACCAUGUUUUUGGAAGAAUUUCAAAAAUCUAAUUCACCAAGUCAAUGCAGAAUAUUUUCCUAAGAACAAACAUGCCAAUUUUCAUGCCGAUCGGACUUGAAUUGAUGGAGUCUUAGGCUUUUUCGAAGAGUGUUACCCCCUCAAGUCUGGUCCCCCCCCCCAAAAUACUCUUUUACUUGUUCAGAUAUGAAAAAUACUGACUGGAUUUCAAAGCUGCUUUGCAGUUUGAAAUGGAAGUAUUUGAAUAUGUGCAAAUACUGGCAAAUUUUAGUAUCUACUGCUGUUUAAUUUAUUUGACAUAAGAAUAUAAACUAGAAAUCCUAAGGAGUACUGACGUGUUUCGGUAUAUCAAGUCACGUCACACCAUGUCACUUCAACAUUCAAGUCACACCAUGAAUUAUUGAGUAUAGUAACAUCCAAUACCUAUUAAAGUGAAAAAAAACUGUCAUUUUGAACUCUUAAUAAAACCAGAAGUUAUACCAAACUUUUUUAUAUUAAUUGUUAGUAGACAUUAGGAUCAUCAUACAUACAAAGGUCAUAGAAAGGUUAGGUCACCAUCUAGAUGGUGAAAAGUCGAACAAACUUCAAAGUGAAAUCGGAAGUAAACAAAAUCGAAAUUCAAAAAUCGGCUCCCUAAAGAUUGUUGCGAUUUGGAAUAGGUUCAGUACAAAAAAAAAGUUUUCAAAAAUCGGAAUUAAAAUGGCAGCUGAAUAUCGAUUUGAAUGUUUUUUGUAAAAUCCAUUAUGGCGGCCAAUCAGUUGAAAAUGUUAUCUAACAAGGUCUUUGAACAUGAAGGAUAUUAUCUGGGGCUAACACCACCAUUUAUAUCAUUUUUUGUCUAUUUUUAAAAUGGAGAGAACUAUUCAUGUUCAGGAAAAAUCGGAAGGCAUGGUAAUUUCCAGAAGUUUCCAGAAGCCGUCACAAAAUUUUUUAAUAUGCUAUUUUGAAGGCAGAUGUGUUCCUUAUUCCUUAUUUCAACUUGAUACCUCAAAUAGUGAUGGAGAUACGCCAUCUUGAAUGUCGAAAAAAUGCUGAAGAAAACUUUCGCAAAUCUUUGAUGCUAAUAUUAAUCAAGCAAACUUCAGAAUAUCAAAAAAACGUCCAUCAGAGCCCAUAUGGGAUUCAUCCAAAGAAGAUCCGUUAGGAAAUAACUUAGAUAUGGGCAAUCUGAGAUUAUUAUUUGUUUCAUCCGUAAAACACUUCCUGUUCAUCAAAAAUGACCCAAUUUAUAUUAAAUAAAUAGACCCACGGAGGCCAACCACAUCUACGUUGGCGGAAUGUUUGCAUCAUGUACAGUUUUGGCUGCACAAAAACAGUCGAGACAGUCGAAACGCAUUAAUUUAUGUUUUUUGUUAAUUUGACAGUUAGUGUUAUUGUCUUGAAACUUGCUAUACUUUCUUUUUCCUGCCAUAUCAAGCUUUGUUUAAAGUGGCUGUUUUUCUUAAUUCACCCUAUGAUUGCUUCAUUAUAAGCUCAUUUGACUCCUAUCUUGUGCUGGAGGCACAGUAACUUAAUUAGUAAGAUGCUGGAUUUCUGUUUUCAGUGUUGACAGAGAAAGUUACUUAGGAUUUACCAUGUCAGUGGUGCAGGAUGGCGAGUCUGGCUAGGAAAAACUUCUAAUCAUUUGGAUGUUGAUGUGAAUGUAAAAUAAUUGUUGCCGUCCGAGCAAAAUGACCAUUCAAAGCACACUGCAUGGUAUCUACCCCUCUUUAUUAGCCACUUUAGUUCAUAAAAACCCAUUUGUCACCUGUUUAUAUGGUAUCAGUAAGUUUAAAAGUAAUGAAUGGGCACAUUUUAUAUUUAAUGAGUAUAGUAUGAUAUAGAUUACUUGUAAUAUCAUAACUUUGCAGUAGCUCAGAUAAACAGUGCAAUAAUAACUCAAUUGCUAAAAUAUUGCACAGUUAGGAUCCAAUGUUAAAUAUAAGCUAUUUAGUGGCAGAUAUUAUGAUAAGUUAUAGUAGAAAGGUUAUUUGGAAAUAAGAAAUCAAAGGAUUGUUACUAUAUAGAUAGGUAUAUUUAAUUUGUUAUUUUUGAUGUAGUUUGUUAUUAAUAAUCUGUUUUGUUAUUAUUUAAGGUUUUUGUAUUCUAAGAAAAAUUUAUAUUUAUCUUAAAUUUAUAUGUCAAAGUGCUCUGUUUAAUAGUUUAAUAAUAUGAAAUAUGUUAUAUAGAUAUGAUAAGUAAAUACUGGUACAGCAACAAGAAUUUUUAUGUACUGGUGACAGUUCCACACAACCAUGUUUUUUGUACAGUACAUGGUUAUUUCAUCGGUUAGUGCAGUGUUGACAUAAAUAUGGGUAUGGUAGCUCCAAUGCAGCUCUUUUACUUACCUGAACUAUCACCUUCUCGAUUUAAAAAGCAUACUAUUACAACACAAAAAAGUGAAAUCAAAGAUUUGAUUAUUGAGAUACAUUCAUUUCCAAGGAUUGAGGAAAUCCAAAUUCUUUCUUGAAAUCUUGAGUUUAGGAUGUUACAAAUCAUUGUUUUCUUGUUAAAUUGUCAAAUUAAUUUAAUGUUAAAAACAAAUUGGAACUAUGACAAAUGGCAACUGUUUAUUACAAUAUAUCUUAUUGAGGUUUUUUCUCUAAAAAUAAUUAUUAACCUAUGAUUCAAUAGAUGUGUUUCUGACAAUUAGUUAAAUGUUUUUUUGGUUUUUUUUACUGGAUUGUUAUCAAAGUUUCCACUCAUCUAUAAGAAUUAUUAGGGUGGGGUAGUGCUAGUAGUGAACACUGUGGUACAUGUAUGUAUACAGUAGCGGUGGUGCUAGGAUUUUCACAAAUUCUCACCUAAAUGCACAAUUUGGGGUGUGCGCUUGAUAAGAAAGAAACAUAAACAACAAAAAUAAUUGCAUCUUGGGGUCGAACUAAAAGGGGGUAAAUCAGUUCAUGGAAUCUUGAUAUGACUAGCUUGGAAUGAAUAGUACGUACUUCACUAAAUUGCAAAUGGUGUUUGUCAGUUAGAUGGGGUUGGAUGUGUGUGUGAGA